UUCAGUUAUUGUCUCAUUGUUAACACUCCCGAAUGAUUUAUUAACAUUAAUUUCUGGAGCAAUGAGCCAGGUUUGUGGAUUCACGACCUGCCAAUCCUUAGCCACCUCGACGAACUUCGAUGCAUCCAAUUUACCAAACCCAAAAUGAUGGGAGAACUGGAAUCCUGCUGGAGUCUUUUGCCAUUCUGCAUUUUGAGAAGGGCUAUCAAAAGGAGAUGCUGAAUACACUGUAAUAUGCUGAAUGUCUCUCCAACUAAGGUCAGGACGAAUCGAAAGCGCCAAAGCAUAUACAGCAGAUGCUAAC